UACGGAGGGGGGCAAGCGUUGUUCGGAAUUACUGGGCGUAAAGGGCGCGCAGGCGGCUGCUCAAGUCAGGCGUGAAAGGCCUGGGCUCAACCCGGGAAUUGCGCUUGAGACUGGGCUGGCUUGAGUGCGGGAGAGGAUGGUGGAAUUCCCAGUGUAGAGGUGAAAUUCGUAGAUAUUGGGAAGAACACCGGUGGCGAAGGCGGCCAUCUGGACCGCAACUGACGCUGAGGCGCGAAAGCGUGGGGAGCAAACGGG
rnacentral:rRNA from 1 species